GAGACCAAAACUGAAAACUCAUAUUUACCGAUGUAAGGUUGGUCUUGGUGACUGUGUGCGUGAAGUCACACUUUAUAUUUGGGGGAUGUAAUAAUCAUCCCAAGUUUUUUUCCCUGAUUAUGCGGCUACAUACACUGGGUCCCUUUCAGCAGGGGGAACUGAACCCAUACAACCCGUGGGUGGUUUAGCACGACAAAGUUACAUAGCCCAGGUAAAGGUUUUAAAGGCAUGCUAAACUCGGUCCCC
rnacentral:lncRNA from 1 species